UGAAAGUUGAAUUCAUAGUGAGAAAUCUAAAAUGGAAAUCUAAUUACAUAAGAACCCAUUUUGAAACAGCAAGUCUUGGUUAAAUAAAUACUUCCUGC